CCUCUGUCACAGCCUAGAUCAUCGCGAGGCCACGGCCCCCCAGGACAGAGGGGCCCGGGGAGGGUGGGGACAGGAAUUGAAGACAUGAUCAAUUAAAUCGUCUCCUUCCUCCAAUAGGUAGAGUAUGAUCCUGUGUCCAUCAACACUUCCUAACGUGCAUGUAGAAGCUAAAAUUGUUAAGAUUUGCGAAAUACUUUUACCUCGAAGUUGGCAGUGACAUCAUUCUGUUUUUUCCUGGGUGCGGAGGAGUAAUUUCAGAAGGAGACAUUUUGUAAAAUUAAAAGAGGCAUGAGCUCCUCCUUCCUGGCAACCUGGGGGAUCACAAAGACAGACGGCACCUCCCCAGGCACCUGCGCCUGUGUCCGACGGCAAAGCCAUUGUCAAGCGAACCUGAUGCUGUCACUGGUCACCCGGAGCCCAUCAGCAUGUUGACCCGGGGCCCAUCAGCAUGUUGAAGGCACUUUCUUGCUGUUACAGGGGAGGAACUGCUAAAGAGGCCACCAGACACAGAACACAGUGAUAGUUUUAGGUGUAAAAUUAUUGCACACAGAUAAAUUCUGGAAACAGCUGCCUAGAAAGUUCUUUAUAUUGGAAAGUGUGCUUUGAGGUCAUUAUGCCGGAUUUUAUGGCCAUUUCUUGGCUGAGCCCCGGGAUGGCUUAUGUCUUUGCAGAAAGGCAUCAUCACAUUUUAUGAAUGACAGAUGGCUUUUACCACACCUUUGCAUGAUCGCUUAUGGUAAUAGGACUGCGGUGCCCUGAGACGUGGGGAUCUGCGUGAGUGCCCCCGGCAAAGUCUGCUCUUCCGGCCUCGAAUCUGGAUCCCAGGAGCCCGUCCAUAUCCCUCAUCCAGCAAACUCCAUGGCCAUGCAGGGCUCCUCAGGACACUGCAGUUGUGCCCUGUUUAAAACAAUAACUGUUUCUCAAGUUUCUUGGAGUGAAGCCACCAUGACCUUUGCAACAGACGAAGCCUACACUUUUUCCAAGUGUGACUCAAAGGACAAAAGGUACAGAAUCACAAAUCAACAGGCUUUUCCCGGCAGUACUUUGCAGAGCUUGUUCCACUGUCCUCUAGCUCGCCUCAUUUUCAAGGAGAAACCUGUCGUCAUCCUUGUCUUUGUUCCUCUGUACCCAGCACGUCUCUUUUCUUCUGCCUGCUGUUAAGAUUGUCUCGUUCUUACCCAGUUUAAGCAGUUUGGUUAAGAUGUGCCUUCUUCGUACUUCAUACUUUUUGGACUGGGAUAUGUAGCUUUUAAAAAGCAAAUUUCAAAAGAUUUCAGUCAUUAUGUCCUCCUUUUUUUUCUGUUUUUUUUUCUUUGUUUUCUUUCUGGGACUCUAAAUGUAUGAAUUUUAGGCCAAUUGAAGUUGCCCCCCAAUUAGCUUUCUGCUCCUUUUGAAGGGGUCUAUUUUCUGUCUGUGUUUCACUUUGGAUGGUUUCUAUUAUAUACCUUUAAGUUCAUUAAUCUUUCCUUUUGUAGUGUCUGUCUAAUCUCAUCAUCUCAUCCAGUGAAUUUUCUUUAUCUCAGAAAUGGUUUCAUCUCUAAAAGUUAGAAUUGGGACUUUUUAAUGUUUUUCAUAUCUCUGCUUAACGUUAUCAUGUGGAAUAGAGUGAUAAUAACUACAGUUCAUCUGUGUCUAGGAAUGCCCUCAUCUGUGCCAUUUGUGAAUUAGUUUCAAUUUGUUGAUAUUCCUCAUUACAUGAUGUGUUUUCCUGCCUCUUUGCAUACUUGGUGAUUUUUUACUGUAUGCUAGACAUCAUGUACUUUUCCUUGUUAGAUCCUGGAUAGUUUUGCACUCCUAAAAUUAUUUUAAAACUUUUCAGGGAUGAAGUUACUUUACUUGGAAACAAUUUGAUAUAUUUGAGGCUUGAUUUUAAGCUUUUUUGGGUGGGGCCUAAAUUAGUCUAGGACUGAUUAUGCUCUACUACUGAGGUGAUACCAUGCUGAAAAAGCUUAAUAAGGAGAAAGAUCAAUCAAUAAAUAUUCACGUAUAUUCACAAAAUAUAAUGAGGAGAAAAAUCAAUCAGUAAAUAUUCACGUAACCCUAAAAAAAGUUAAGAAAUGAGAAACAAAGGGGGGAACUGGAGGGUAUGUAUAGAGAGCGAGGCAUAAAAUUACAGACCCAGACAUAACCAUGUCAAUACUUAUUUAAAUAUGAGUGGACCAAAGAUUUCAGGUAAAACGCAGAGGUUGUCAGAAUAGAUAUGAAAACAAGACCCACACACAUGCUGUCUUCCAAAAUUGCACUUGAAGAACAGAGACACAGGUAGCUUUAAAUGACAUUAAAGUUAAAGCAUAAACACUGGAAAGGGAGAAGAAGAACUGCCUCUUUAUGCAGAUAUCAUGAAUCAUGUAUGAGGAAGUAUCUUAAGAAACUUACAAACAACUAGCAUAGGCACUGAGAAAGCGUGGUCUACUCAUCAACCACAAACAGGAAUGAAGCCCUAACAUGCCACAAUAUGGAUGAACCUUGAAACUGAAAACAUGAUGAGUGAAAGAAGACGGACACAAAGGGCCGCAUGUUAUAUGAUUCCAGUUAUACGAAAUGGGCAGAUCUAAAGAGGCAGAACGCAGGUUAGUGGUGACAGGAGCUGGGGGAAGGGAGGAACAGAGAGUGACACCUCGAUUGAUGUGGUGUCUCCUUUCUUGGUGAUGCGAAUGUCCUGGGGCCGACAACGUGGUGAACGCACUGGAUGCCACUGAAUUGUGCACUUCAAAAUUGUGAAAAUAGUGAAUUUUAUAAUAUGUGAAUUUUACCACCAUAAAAACCAAACUAUUAGUACAAAUAAAAUUAGUUUAGCC
rnacentral:lncRNA from 10 species